UAGGGAAUCUUCCACAAUGGGCGAAAGCCUGAUGGAGCAACGCCGCGUGUGUGAUGAGGGUUUCGGCUCGUAAAACACUGUUGUAAGAGAAGAAUGACAUUGAGAGUAACUGUUCAAUGUGUGACGGUAUCUUACCAGAAAGGAACGGCUAAAUACGCGCCAG
rnacentral:rRNA from 1 species